rnacentral:rRNA from 1 species
CAGGCCUAACACAUGCAAGUCGAACGGUAGCAGGAAGUGCUUGCACUUUGCUGACGAGUGGCGGACGGGUGAGUAAUGCUUGGGAACUUGCCUUUAGGUGGGGGAUAACAGUUGGAAACGACUGCUAAUACCGCAUAAUGUCUACGGACCAAAGGGGGCUUCGGCUCUCGCCUUGAGAGAGGCCCAAGUGAGAUUAGCUAGUUGGUGGGGUAAAGGCCUACCAAGGCAACGAUCUCUAGCUGUUCUGAGAGGAAGAUCAGCCACACUGGGACUGAGACACGGCCCAGACUCCUACGGGAGGCAGCAGUGGGGAAUAUUGCACAAUGGGGGAAACCCUGAUGCAGCCAUGCCGCGUGUGUGAAGAAGGCCUUCGGGUUGUAAAGCACUUUCAGUUGUGAGGAAAGGUUGGUAGUUAAUACCUGCCAGCUGUGACGUUAACAACAGAAGAAGCACCGGCUAACUCCGUGCCAGCAGCCGCGGUAAUACGGAGGGUGCGAGCGUUAAUCGGAAUUACUGGGCGUAAAGCGCACGCAGGCGGCUUGUUAAGCUAGAGGUGAAAGCCCCGCGCUCAACGUGGGAACUGCCUUUAGAACUGGCAGGCUAGAGUCUUGGAGAGGGGAGUGGAAUUCCAGGUGUAGCGGUGAAAUGCGUAGAUAUCUGGAGGAACAUCAGUGGCGAAGGCGGCUCCCUGGCCAAAGACUGACGCUCAUGUGCGAAAGUGUGGGUAGCGAACAGGAUUAGAUACCCUGGUAGUCCACACCGUAAACGCUGUCUACUAGCUGUUUGUGUAUUUAAUACGUGAGUAGCGAAGCUAACGCGCUAAGUAGACCGCCUGGGG